AUUGAACGCUGGCGGCAGGCCUAACACAUGCAAGUCGAACGAGUGGCGGACGGGUGAGUAAUGUCUGGGAAACUGCCUGGUGGAGGGGGAUAACUACUGGAAACGGUAGCUAAUACCGCAUACCAUCAGAUGUGCCCAUAUGGGAUUAGCUAGUUGGUGGGGUAACGGCUCACCAAGGCGACGAUCCCUAGCUGGUCUGAGAGGAUGACCAGCCACACUGGGACUGAGACACGGCCCAGACUCCUACGGGAGGCAGCAGUGGGGAAUAUUGCACAAUGGGCGAAAGCCUGAUGCAGCCAUGCCGCGUGUAUGAAGAAGGCCUUCGGGUUGUAUAGUACUUUCAGCGGGGAGGCGUUACCCGCAGAAGAAGCACCGGCUAACUCCGUGCCAGCAGCCGCGGUAAUAC
rnacentral:rRNA from 1 species